UGCAGAGCACGCCGCUCAGACAGGUGUUCAACAAGAACUCUGUAAAACAUGCAGAAAGGUAAAAUAAUUUGUAACAGUACAAUUUCAGGAGUUUUUAGUGGAACCGAUUGAAGCUGGCAGUAAUCCCGGGGCGAGGAAACUACUAAGCCGCGGAGCAGCUGUGAGGGAGAAGUCGUCAGCGGAGGGGACUCCGUCGCAUUUUCCCUCUAAUUAACGUGGAUUGUCCAGUUGAUAGCAAUGAGCUGUUUAGCCGCCCACUCCUAUGGGCUUAAUUGCGACCUAGAAGCAAAGCGCUACACGGAGCACUACAAUGAUAGCUGCGGCUGCAGUUCAGUUGGCAACGUUGAACCUCCUCGUCUGCAGUGGAGAUCAUCGCCCCUGCGUCUGGAUGCUGAUGUGUGGAUGCACGGUGCGUUGAUGUCUGCAACACCUACUACUGCCUGUUGAUGUUGGGAAUUUGUGGGUGGUGCAAACGUCAUCUAUGAUGUCCAAGUGCUUCAUAUUUCU